UCUAAUUAAAAAGUAAAAUUUCUUAAGAUAAUGAUUGGUGUUUGCCCUAAUCUUAAAGCUAUAUAUAUUGUUGAUCGGCCAGAGGAUUAGGUAUUAUUUUUCUGUGGCCAUUAGAUAGUUUUCACCGUUAUGGUUUUUUUAUAUAGCUACUACGAUUCUGAUGAAUCGCGUUGUUUGUCAUGCAAAUAUUGUUUUUAUGGACCUUUAAAGGUCGUGUGCAUAUUGUUUGUGUUGUUUGUUUUAUUUUUUUGCAUUAUUCGAUGAUUUAUUGUUUUGCUAAUUUGGUGUUUUUGGUGUGUGUUUCAGUUUUGUAUAACGUGGGAGGUUCCAUCGACAAAGCUCUCUGACGAAGGUGGUGUUGACGAGCAAAGAGCGAGGUUUGGGGAGGUACUCGAUGAACUCAUAUCUCGGUUUGUGUCGGUUUAUUGGAAACAGGUAACCGCUGGUGUUUCCUUCUCCCGAAGAUGCACGAAUGAUAUGUUUUAUUUUAAUAAGACCACACGGGAUUGGCGUAGAAGAGUUGUUGCUCCGUCGUGUUUUACGGAUCGCGUGGGCUUUUGUAAGCAUGUUUUGAGUUGGCUGAAGUAUUCAUUACGACCGAAUAUUUUGAAAGAGGUAUGUUGUGUGUAGUUUACGUAUUUGUUAGAUCCUAUGUCCUAUUAUUAUAGAUGUCUUCGUGUUUUCUAAAUUAUUUGUUUGUUUUCUAUUGUCUACUUAUUUUUUGGGUUUUUUUUUUU